GACAGAGGGUGCGAACGUUGUUCGGAAUUACUGGGCGUAAAGCGCGUGUAGGCGGCAACGCAAGUCGGGCGUGAAAUCCCACGGCUCAACCGUGGAAGUGCACUCGAAACUGCGUAGGCUAGAGUCCUGGAGAGGAAGGUGGAAUGCGUUGGUGUAGAGGUGAAAUUCGUAGAUAUCAAGCGGAACACCGGGUGGCGAAGGCGGCCUUCUGG
rnacentral:rRNA from 1 species